rnacentral:ncRNA from 1 species
CGCUAGGGGAGCCUUGGGCUGAGAUUGACUUGUGUCUGACCCUCACUACUUGAACCGGAUAAUACCGGCGUAAGGAAGCUGAUUUUUA